CAGCAGCCGCGGUAAUACGUAGGGUGCAAGCGUUAAUCGGAAUUACUGGGCGUAAAGCGUGCGCAGGCGGUCCGCUAAGACAGAUGUGAAAUCCCCGGGCUUAACCUGGGAACUGCAUUUGUGACUGGCGGGCUAGAGUAUGGCAGAGGGGGGUAGAAUUCCACGUGUAGCAGUGAAAUGCGUAGAGAUGUGGAGGAAUACCGAUGGCGAAGGCAGCCCCCUGGGCCAAUACUGACGCUCAUGCACGAAAGCGUGGGGAGUAAACAGGAUUAGAUACCCGGGUAGUCCCUGUCUCUUAUAC
rnacentral:rRNA from 1 species